GAUGAAGAACGUAGCGAAAUGCGAUAAGUAAUGUGAAUUGCAGAAUUCAGUGAAUCAUCGAGUUUUUGAACGCAUAUUGCGCCCUCUGGUAUUCCGGGGGGCACGCCUGUUCGAGCGUCAUUAAAUAACCCUCAAGCAUAGCUUGGUGUUGGGCUUUUUUACGUCCUUGACUGGGAUGGGCCUAAAAAUUAGUGGCGAUGGCUUUUUUACUUUCAAGCGUAGUAAAUCUCGUCUUGCUAAAGAGGAAAAAGAUUUUUUUUCUGCCAAAAAUUUUAACAUUUAAAGUUGACCUCGGAUCAGGUAGGAUUACCCGCUGAACUUAAGCAUAUCAAUAAGCGGAGGA
rnacentral:misc_RNA from 1 species